UAAAUUGAGAGUUUGAUCCUGGCUCAGGAUGAACGCUGGCGGCGUGCUUAACACAUGCAAGUCGAGCGAUGAAGUU
rnacentral:rRNA from 1 species